rfam:Felis catus isolate Cinnamon breed Abyssinian chromosome A1, whole genome shotgun sequence.
GCCUGCGUGGCUCAGUCGGUUAAGCAUCCGACUUCAGUUCAGGUCAUGAUCUCACAGUUUGUGGGUUCGAACCCCACUUUGGGCU